rnacentral:lncRNA from 1 species
ACUCAGCCAAAGACACUACAUAAAAAAUAUGCAGCUCAGAAAGAGCAAGAAAGAAGGGGUACACUGCAGUGUUCACUCUUCUGUUUCACUGGGGACAUCAGGAACAGGUAAAAUUGCUUGUCUGUUCCUGUAUGGAUGAUCAAUAUAACCACGGCCCCACAGAUAGAAAGAAACCAAGAAGACCAGCAUCUCAAGACAAGUUAAGGCCAUAAAAGGCGAACCAGUGAAGUUCUGAUAAGAUUUCCGUAUUCUGAAUCGUAUUUACACUGCAAACGAAUUUAAAAAAUCAAAUAUAGCAUGAAAGUUAGGUUUACACCAGCCUCAAGACGGCAUGGCCAUGGAUCAUCCACUGUCUGUUCAAUGACCGCUUGUUGCAUAUUGCAUACAAAACUGCAAGUGGAAUAAUUAAUUUCAGAUAAACUUGCCUAAACAACAUGUAAAAAACCAUGUGAUUGAUGGAUUGAUUUUUUUUAAUGUCAGUCAAAUGAUCUCCUGUUUACUAAUUGGGCAGUUCUUGUUCAGACAAAGCUGCAGUGAGGACUAGACUUUCUGCCACAGGCAAAAGUCUGACUGCACUUGUAUUUACACUGGAAUAGGAUUGAAUCCAUACCAAAAUUUUGGCUUUAGAAAGAUAUAAGCCUCUGGCACCUAGCUAUCAAUACUAAAUCAAUGCCCAUAGAGUUUGUCAAACUUUUUAAUGCCAUGGUCCCCUAAAUAUUGUUUUCCCCCUUCAUAAAAUAUAAAAGACCGCUAUAUUUCAUGUAUAAAGACAGAAUUUAAGUUUUGAUAAAUUAAAUAUAUGUUACUGUAUUUAGAAAGUAUUACUUUCUAUUAAUGUUGUGAAAAGAAUAAAUUAGUUUCAUGGUGUCUAGCUAGUUCUUAUAUUUUAAAUUACUAUUAUUAUUAUUAGAUUUUUAAACAAUUUUUCCUCUACAUUUUUCUGUGGGCUUCCCAGCACUCCUUUCCAGUCCUUUUGGGAUCCCAUACCUUAGUUAGAAAACCCCUGCCUUAAACAAAAAAC